UGGAGUUGAGCACGGACCGCCUAACCAUGCAAGUCGAGCGGAUGAGAAGAGCUUGCUCUUCGAUUCAGCGGCGGACGGGUGAGUAAUACCUAGGAAUCUGCCUGGUAGUGGGGGACAACGUUUCGAAAGGAACGCUAAUACCGCAUACGUCCUACGGGAGAAAGCAGGGGACCUUCGGGCCUUGCGCUAUCAGAUGAGCCUAGGUCGGAUUAGCUAGUUGGUGAGGUAAUGGCUCACCAAGGCUACGAUCCGUAACUGGUCUGAGAGGAUGAUCAGUCACACUGGAACUGAGACACGGUCCAGACUCCUACGGGAGGCAGCAGUGGGGAAUAUUGGACAAUGGGCGAAAGCCUGAUCCAGCCAUGCCGCGUGUGUGAAGAAGGUCUUCGGAUUGUAAAGCACUUUAAGUUGGGAGGAAGGGCAGUAAGCGAAUACCUUGCUGUUUUGACGUUACCGACAGAAUAAGCACCGGCUAACUCUGUGCCAGCAGCCGCGGUAAUACAGAGGGUGCAAGCGUUAAUCGGAAUUACUGGGCGUAAAGCGCGCGUAGGUGGUUCGUUAAGUUGGAUGUGAAAUCCCCGGGCUCAACCUGGGAACUGCAUCCAAAACUGGCGAGCUAGAGUAGGGCAGAGGGUGGUGGAAUUUCCUGUGUAGCGGUGAAAUGCGUAGAUAUAGGAAGGAACACCAGUGGCGAAGGCGA
rnacentral:rRNA from 1 species